GUACUUAAAAUAGUCCUAAAAGCACAUUUGGAAGAAUACAGAGAUUAUCAUGACCCCUGUGCAAGGAUGACAUGCAAAUCCAUAAAGCAUUUUAUAUUAAA
ensembl:snRNA U6 U6 spliceosomal RNA